rnacentral:rRNA from 1 species
GGCUUGGCGCGCGCGGCCCGGUUCGUUUUCGGACUGUGUGCCGUUGUGCGCCUGCCAUCCUUGUGAAGAACGGCUGUGCCCUUCACUGGGUUGCAGUCGUGAUUCACAUCUUUUACUUUGAAAAAAUUAGAGUGUUUAAAGCAGGCUUGCGCUAUGAAUACAUUAGCAUGGAAUAAUAAUUUAGGACUUCUGUUCUAUUUUGUUGGUUUCUAGGAUGGAAGUA